GACUAGAGUUUGAUCCUGGCUCAGGACGAACGCUGGCGGCGUGCUUAACACAUGCAAGUCGGACGGUCGGCACUGGAAGGUUCGCUGGAAGGUGCCGGUAGUGGCGGACGGGUGAGUAACGCGUGAGGACAUGGCUCCAGGAGGGGGAUAACGUUUGGAAACGGACGCUAAGACCCCAUAUGCCGGAAGGUGAAAAUGGUGCAAGCCAGCCUGGAGAGUGACUCGCGUCCUAUCAGCUAGUUGGUGGGGUGAAGGCCUACCAAGGCGAUGACGGGUAGCCGACCUGAGAGGGUGGCCGGCCACACUGGAACUGAGAUACGGUCCAGACUCCUACGGGAGGCAGCAGUGGGGAAUAUUGGGCAAUGGGCGCAAGCCUGACCCAGCGACGCCGCGUGGGGGAAGAAGUCUUUCGGGAUGUAAACCCUUGUUGUACGGGACGAAACGAAUGACGGUACCGUACGAGGAAGCCCCGGCAAACUAC
rnacentral:rRNA from 1 species